rnacentral:lncRNA from 1 species
AUACAGCAGCGGCUCGUAAGCAUUAUUUAUGGGAAGUGAAUUUCUUGUCAGCAGUUAAUAACCUGCACAGAGUGGAAGGGGAAUGGAGGGAAGAUGGCGAUUACGUACAGAGAACAAUUAUUCUGCAGUGGAGAAGUACUCUGUUUUGGACUAUGCUGAGGCUUCCCUUUCAGCAGUGACCACGUUUCCCUCUGAGCCCUUCCAGGGCAGCUCCUACCUCUAUCCCAAGUCCCUGAAUCCUCAAGGCGCUCAGCCACAGCCCACCCUCUCUUACAGGCAUAGGCGGACAGGAGGGCAGCACACAGCAGUCAGUCAGAGCCAGCCCCAGAGCGCAUGCUCUCCUGAUGCCCAUCAUCUUUUAAACAGUGACAGGCGACAGGGUCUCUUUCUGAGCUCAUGGUCUAAAGCUCUCCAUGAACCAGAGUGAACUCAGCUCUCGAGGAAGGACCCAUCUAAAGGGACUUUUAUCCUGGAAUUGGUCAAGGAACUACAUGUUGUUACACAACUGAGAAAGAACUCAGGUCUAUAGUGAACUCUACUUAGAGACCCGGUCUCCCCGUCAGGGUGUGAAGCUAACUGAGACACUUUGAUGGUACAGCUGCCCACAGUGAGAGGCACGGGC